CCCUUAGACGUUCUGGGCCGCACGCGCGCUACACUGACACAGGCAACGAGCUUUCCUUUACCGAAAGGUAUGGGUAAUCUUUUGAAACUGUGUCGUGCUGGGGAUAGAUCCUUGCAAUUUUUGAUCUUAAACGAGGAAUUCCUAGUAAGCGCGAGUCAUCAACUCGCGUUGAUUACGUCCCUGCCCUUUGUACACACCGCCCGUCGCUACUACCGAUUGAAUGGCUUAGUGAGGCCUCAGGAUCCGCGCUUAAUGUGUGGAGAAUUUGGACGAACUACGUCAUUUAGAGGAAGUAAAAGUCGUAACA
rnacentral:rRNA from 1 species